rnacentral:rRNA from 1 species
UACGUAGGGCGCAAGCGUUAUCCGGAAUUAUUGGGCGUAGAGAGCUCGUAGGCGGUUUGUCGCGUCUGCCGUGAAAGUCCGGGGCUCAACUCCGGAUCUGCGGUGGGUACGGGCAGACUAGAGUGAUGUAGGGGAGACUGGAAUUCCUGGUGUAGCGGUGAAAUGCGCAGAUAUCAGGAGGAACACCGAUGGCGAAGGCAGGUCUCUGGGCAUUAACUGACGCUGAGGAGCGAAAACAUGGGGAGCGAACAGG